rnacentral:sRNA from 1 species
UCUCUCUCUCCCCACCCCUGCCUGUGUCCCAGAGCACCCCUUCCUCCCCUGUUUCCUAAGAACACUUCUUCAAGAAAGCUUUGCCUAAAAGGACAGAACCCUCCCACCAUACUCCCAGACUCUAAUAAAAGAAAAAGUCCAACCACUUCCCAGCUGCUUGGGCUUCACUGCCUUGGUGCCUUUCACCAUCACCACCUGCAGCCUCUGUAGCUGGGACCAGACUUUCAGCGGGCCAGCCAGAAGGGGAGGAGUUUGCUCAAAGCUGUUGGAAUCAGCAGAUAUGCAAAAUGACUGUAAGAUAAAAUAGCACAGGUCUCAUUCCUCCAUGGAGAGGAAGAAGAGGUCUGAUUUCCACUCCAGCUUCACGGAGGAAUUACAGAAUGGUGCCAGCAGAAGCACUCCAAAAAGCCAGCCUCUUCAGAGAUAGACCACAGCCCCUGAGCACUGCGAGAGGUAUGUGUGCGGUAUUGCCACUGCAAUAGGUGCAUCUGUGGAUGCUUGUGUCUGGCUAACACACCUCGUGGCAUCUUGCGCCUUUGUCUUUUCCUCUUCAGGCCCAGGCCAACCACAAUAUUUUUUUUUUUCAAAAGCAGACUGCUCCACUUAAAAUUCUGUUAAGCUGGUCACUUUCCAAAUUCUUUCCCCCUCAUAAUAGCUGUUUAUUUUUUAUUAAAAUAUUUUUAUGGAUCUUUUUGUAACUUCACAGUUGUCUCCAUACAUAUAUUUUCCAAAUUCUUAUCCUGGAGUCAAGACUUCAUUCCCUGCUUAUCACAACUAAGGUAGAGGACACAGAUACAAGUGAGAGGGAGGGAUGUCCUCACCUCACUGGUUACUCAGGGUUGUAGCUAGCUCAGCACUAACACUUGCUACUCAGGGUUUUAAGUUGCUGGGCCCUGGCCUCCAGCUUGUAGCUUUGUAGCCUUGGGGCCAUAAUAGCCAGUGGUGAGACCCUAGGAGACAUUCAGAGGCCACCUUGACAAGUGGGGAUAAAAAAGUCUGCCCAAGCUGUUUGCAGAGCCUUGGCAUCUGGAGUCAGGAGAGCUUACAUGCAGUGUGGUGAGGAAACGCCAUUGCUGCAGCAAAAACCAGGCAGACCAGCUUUCUCUUUGAACGCUUACUGAGUGAUCCUAGACUGCCAUGUCCAACAACUGUAAAAGGAAGAUAUGAGUAUUCACGUUAUAAAGAGAAAAGGUGAGAGGGUGGGACUAGAUAGUGCUUUCUAAAGAGUCCGGUGCUCAGUAGAAAGGUGGGCAGGAAGGGGCAGCACUUAGUACUGGCAAGCAAAGGAACCAAAAGGCCCAGCAUGGAGGACAGUGGGAGGAGGGAGAAGAGGAAGAGAGAGCAGAACUGUACUUUCAGGGAGAGGUUUUUCAGUAAAGAUCUGCAAUACAUUUUUCAGGGCCUGUGGCAAAACAGAAGUGUAAGGCUUCUGGAUCAAAACCCAGCAGAGAGGUGGAGCAUCAUGUUUUCCUUCUGGAUUCUCUGUCCUCCCCACCCCCACCCCAACAAGUUCUUAUUUUAAAAUGCUUUAAGAUGAACAGAAAAAUCUCAAAGAUCAUAGAGUGCCUGCAUCCUUGCAUUUACUUUCCUCGAAUUGCUAACAUUCUACUACGUUAUUUGGAUGCCUUUGACUCAAUUAGCAAAUGGCUUGGUGAGUGUCACUUAAUGACAUGUUCUUUCAGGCAUAGAAGUACCGAGAGGGAGGACAGGUCCUUCAAUAGACUUGAAGUGAUGCUCACUCUGACUGAAGGUGUGCACACAGAUCCCCAGAUGGGCUGCAGGAUCAUUAUAGAUAAUAAGGAACUGGCGAAGGAAGAAAAGUAGACAUGAUACAGGUCGUGGUGGUAAACCCCCAUUAGUAACAUCAUAGUGCAAACUUUUUCAUUUACAUGUUGGUGUUUACAUACAAUGUCUAUACAUUAAAUUAAGUCACGAUGUAUACAAUGUAUAGACUUCUGAAUAACCUUCUUUGGUUCAGCCAAUGCUCUUCCCCAUUUUCCUCUGUUUUUUUUAUACAUUUUCAGCUUGUCUACUAUUUGGGAUCAUAGUCUAAAUUCCCCAGUGUUUUCAUUCUAAGUUUUCAUUCUAAUCCAGAAACAAUGUGUGUGUGUGUGUGUGUGUGUGUGUGUGUGUGUGUGUGUGUGUGUGUGUGUGUGUGGUGGGGAAUGUAUAUUGGGAAGAUGAGUCUAGAAGUAUGACCCACAGAAGAGUCAUGGUGGGAAGGGGUUAUUAGAAAGCUCUGAAUACUCUCAUACAACCAGCUCCUCCUAAUCAGAACACACGCAGUAAAUAGCAACACUUACAAAGUUGGUGACCUGACUGGAAGCAGACUUCAGCUCCCUAAAAUCUGACGCUGUAAUGUAUGAAGCUCAGUGUGAUCUUUUUACACUUGACUUUAUGGAGGCGGGGACAGACGCUCCCCCAACAGCAUUGAUGCCUUCUAAACAGAAACUUUCCACUGGAGACAAAUGAGGAAGUUGGAGUUCAGAGAGAUCUUUUGGAAAGAAAUGACACCUGUUGAGAGUAGAAAAGAAUUUAAGUGGAUUUCUCAAACCAGAGUGCUGAAGUAGAUAACCAUGAUAUGGGAGCUUUUCCUUUUGUACAAAAGAGUAUCCCAAACCCAGAGAAGCAGAGCGAUAAAUGACCCAUCAAGGCACUCAGAAAGGGGACAGGAGAAGCACAGCUCCUGCAGAAGAAGAGGACAUGGAAGUAAGUGUUUUCAGGACUCUAGCAAAACAAGUGGCUCAAGACCUGAAGAAAAGGCAAGACCUGGGGGCAAAAACUCAUGGUAAGCUGCUGACUCAUUAAGCUACCGGAAGCUCCCACAGUUGUGUUCCCUCAGUAACCUGCUGAUGCAGCUCUUCACCGAAAGCUACCUGGGAGUUGGGGGAAGGUACCAUGUUUGUAAUCUCAGUUCUGCAGAGAUGGAAGGAACAGGAGUCCUGAGGUAGCCUGGUCUACAUAGCAAGAAAAAAAGAAAGAAA